CAGCUUGAGCUGAAUGCAAAUGAAGGAUUGUGAGGCCUUCAGAGGAAAAAAUCUAACAAGAAGAGAAAAGCAGGAAGAGGAAGAAAACUCUUUUCUGAUGGUACUACCAAGGUAUGUAGUUUUGUACCAUCAACGGUGAUGAUUGGCUCACUGGGAUUAGUUGAUAGAAGACUCCAUUUUUUCCAGGCUGAGGAAAGUUUGCCUCGCCCUGAAUAGCUACAACUUUCUCUGCUUCAAUGAAAAGGGACAGCUCUGACCUCCAUUCUGCAAUAGAUGAAGGUCUGCCACUCUGAUAUGGGUUAACAGCAGCCUCCCGAAAGAUUACACAUCAGUGAAAGAUGAAUGGAAG